GUGGGGAAUCUUGCGCAAUGGGCGAAAGCCUGACGCAGCCAUGCCGCGUGAAUGAUGAAGGCCUUAGGGUUGUAAAGCUCUUUCGUGGGGGAAGAUAAUGACUGUACCCCAAGAAGAAGCCCCGGCUAACUCCGUGCCAGCAGCCGCGGUAAUACGGAGGGGGCUAGCGUUGUUCGGAAUUACUGGGCGUAAAGCGCACGUAGGCGGUCUGGAAAGUCAGGGGUGAAAUCCCGGGGCUCAACCCCGGAACUGCCUUUGAAACUCCCAGUCUUGAGUUCGAGAGAGGUGAGUGGAAUUCCGAGUGUAGAGGUGAAAUUCGUAGAUAUUCGGAGGAACACCAGUGGCGAAGGCGGCUCACUGGCUCGAUACUGACGCUGAGAUGCGAAAGCGUGGGGAGCAAACAGGAUUAGAAACCCUGGUAGUCC
rnacentral:rRNA from 1 species